AGAGUUUGAUCAUGGCUCAGAUUGAACGCUGGCGGCAGGCCUAACACAUGCAAGUCGAACGGUAACAGGAAGCAGCUUGCUGCUUUGCUGACGAGUGGCGGACGGGUGAGUAAUGUCUGGGAAACUGCCUGAUGGAGGGGGAUAACUACUGGAAACGGUAGCUAAUACCGCAUAACGUCGCAAGACCAAAGAGGGGGACCUUAGGGCCUCUUGCCAUCGGAUGUGCCCAGAUGGGAUUAGCUAGUAGGUGGGGUAACGGCUCACCUAGGCGACGAUCCCUAGCUGGUCUGAGAGGAUGACCAGCCACACUGGAACUGAGACACGGUCCAGACUCCUACGGGAGGCAGCAGUGGGGAAUAUUGCACAAUGGGCGCAAGCCUGAUGCAGCCAUGCCGCGUGUAUGAAGAAGGCCUUCGGGUUGUAAAGUACUUUCAGCGGGGAGGAAGGGAGUAAAGUUAAUACCUUUGCUCAUUGACGUUACCCGCAGAAGAAGCACCGGCUAACUCCGUGCCAGCAGCCGCGGUAAUACGGAGGGUGCAAGCGUUAAUCGGAAUUACUGGGCGUAAAGCGCACGCAGGCGGUUUGUUAAGUCAGAUGUGAAAUCCCCGGGCUCAACCUGGGAACUGCAUCUGAUACUGGCAAGCUUGAGUCUCGUAGAGGGGGGUAGAAUUCCAGGUGUAGCGGUGAAAUGCGUAGAGAUCUGGAGGAAUACCGGUGGCGAAGGCGGCCCCCUGGACGAAGACUGACGCUCAGGUGCGAAAGCGUGGGGAGCAAACAGGAUUAGAUACCCUGGUAGUCCACGCCGUAAACGAUGUCGACUUGGAGGUUGUGCCCUUGAGGCGUGGCUUCCGGAGCUAACGCGUUAAGUCGACCGCCUGGGGAGUACGGCCGCAAGGUUAAAACUCAAAUGAAUUGACGGGGGCCCGCACAAGCGGUGGAGCAUGUGGUUUAAUUCGAUGCAACGCGAAGAACCUUACCUGGUCUUGACAUCCACAGAACUUUCCAGAGAUGGAUUGGUGCCUUCGGGAACUGUGAGACAGGUGCUGCAUGGCUGUCGUCAGCUCGUGUUGUGAAAUGUUGGGUUAAGUCCCGCAACGAGCGCAACCCUUAUCCUUUGUUGCCAGCGGUCCGGCCGGGAACUCAAAGGAGACUGCCAGUGAUAAACUGGAGGAAGGUGGGGAUGACGUCAAGUCAUCAUGGCCCUUACGACCAGGGCUACACACGUGCUACAAUGGCGCAUACAAAGAGAAGCGACCUCGCGAGAGCAAGCGGACCUCAUAAAGUGCGUCGUAGUCCGGAUUGGAGUCUGCAACUCGACUCCAUGAAGUCGGAAUCGCUAGUAAUCGUGGAUCAGAAUGCCACGGUGAAUACGUUCCCGGGCCUUGUACACACCGCCCGUCACACCAUGGGAGUGGGUUGCAAAAGAAGUAGGUAGCUUAACCUUCGGGAGGGCGCUUACCACUUUGUGAUUCAUGACUGGGGUGAAGUCGUAACAAGGUAACCGUAGGGGAACCUGCGGUUGGAUCACCU
rnacentral:rRNA from 3 species